rnacentral:rRNA from 1 species
UACGUAGGUGGCAAGCGUUGUCCGGAUUUACUGGGUGUAAAGGGCGUGCAGCCGGGAAGACAAGUCAGAUGUGAAAUCCCGCGGCUCAACCGCGGAACUGCAUUUGAAACUGUCCAGCUGGAGUGCAGGAGAGGUAAGCGGAAUUCCUAGUGUAGCGGUGAAAUGCAUAGAUAUUAGGAGGAACACCAGUGGCGAAGGCGGCCUGCUGGGCUUUUACUGACGCUGAUGCUCGAAAGCAUGGGUAGCAA